rnacentral:tRNA from 1 species
GGCCGCGUGUCGCAAUGGUAGCGAGUCAGAUUUCGGCUCUGAAGGUUGCGCGUUCGAGUCGCGUCGCGGUCG